rnacentral:rRNA from 1 species
GGAUUGCCCUAGUAACGGCGAGUGAAGCGGCAACAGCUCAAAUUUGAAAUCUGGCCUUCUUCAGGGUCCGAGUUGUAAUUUGUAGAGGGUGCUUUGGUGUUGGCUGUGGUCUAAGUCCCUUGGAACAGGGUGUCACAGAGGGUGAGAAUCCCGUAUGUGGCCAGCAGCUCUCGCUAUGUAAAGCCCCUUCAACGAGUCGAGUUGUUUGGGAAUGCAGCUCUAAAUGGGAGGUAAAUUUCUUCUAAAGCUAAAUACUGGCCAGAGACCGAUAGCGCACAAGUAGAGUGAUCGAAAGAUGAAAAGCACUUUGGAAAGAGAGUCAAAAAGCACGUGAAAUUGUUGAAAGGGAAGCGCUUGCAGCCAGACUUGUUUGUAGUUGCUCAUCUAGGCUCUUGCCUAGUGCACUCUUCUGCAGGCAGGCCAGCAUCAGUCCAGGCGGUUAGAUAAAGGCCCUGGGAAUGUAGCUCUCUUUGGGGAGUGUUAUAGCCCAGGGUGGAAUGUAGCCAGCCUGAACUGAGGUCCGCGCUUCUGCUAGGAUGCUGGCGUAAUGGCUGUAAGCGGCCCGUCUUGAAACACGGACCAAGGAGUCUAACAUCUAUGCAAGUGUUUGGGUGUCAAGCCCGAACGCGCAAUGAAAGUGAACGGAGGUGGGAACCCUUAUAGGGUGCACCAUCGACCGAUCCUGAUGUCUUCGGAUGGAUUUGAGUAAGAGCAUAGCUGUUGGGACCCGAAAGAUGGUGAACUAUGCCUGAAUAGGGUGAAGCCAGAGGAAACUCUGGUGGAGGCUCGCAGCGGUUCUGACGUGCAAAUCGAUCGUCAAAUUUGGGCAUAGGGGCGAAAGACUAAUCGAACUAUCUAGUAGCUGGUUCCUGCGA